CAGAGGCUGGGGAGGCGUCCGAGCCUCCGUCCCGCCUCGUCGUUGAAGAAUCACGCGCCGGCCCAAUCGACGGUUGGCCGGGGGAGGGGCCACGGAUCCAGAGUUUCACGGCGCCCCCUGCCGGACACUGGGGGCGGGAAGGGGGAAGUGAAAAGGGAGACCUGGAUGACGCGUCUGCGGCCCCCAAGUGGUAGAGAAUGAAAGUUUGAGCACGACUGUAGGGAAAGGAAUCAAACCUCCCAGGCCAGCCAAGAAGGAAUCCUGAUCUGGGCUACCCUAUCUGUGCUUCUGGUGAGGUGGGCCCAGAACCAUCGUGUGAAUAAUGAUUGACCUCAGCUAGUGGUUCUCAUGGAGUGAUUGAUUUUGCUUCCCAGAGGACAUCAGCAAUGUCUGGAGACAUUUCCAGUUGUCACUACUUGAGAGGAAGCGUGAUCGGCCUCUAGAAGGGAGAGACCAGGGAUGCCGCUGCUC
rnacentral:lncRNA from 10 species